CCUUUUGGGCGGGGCCUGGACCGGCUGCUCCAGAGGCUGCGAUUUCACAUCGGAAACAAAACAGCGGCUGCUCGGGAAGGAGCUUGCUCUGCGAGCGGCGGGUGGCGGCGGCGGCAAGGGAAGAGUAGACCUAAUCCGGAAGCCUGCAAGUGACAGCAGCCUGUGAGGUCCUUAGAAAGUUUGGUCUGGAGAAGAACACAUGAAAGAAAGAACCCCAAGAGGCUUUGUUUUCUGUGAAAAAGUGUUUCUAUACGGUUGCUCCAAUGACAGAGUUACCUGCACCCUUGUCCUACUUCCAGAAUGCACAGAUGUCCGAGGACAACCACCUGAGCAAUACUGUACGUAACCAGAAUGACAGUAGAGAACGGCAUGAGCACACCAGCGAAAGGCGGAGACAUGGCAACCCCGGGCCAUUAUCUAAUGGACGACCCCAGGGUAACUCACGGCAGGUGGUGGAACAAGAUGAAGAAGAAGAUGAAGAGCUGACAUUGAAAUAUGGCGCCAAACAUGUGAUCAUGCUCUUUGUACCCGUGACUCUCUGUAUGGUGGUGGUCGUGGCUACCAUCAAAUCAGUCAGCUUCUAUACCCGGAAGGAUGGACAGCUAAUCUAUACCCCAUUCACGGAAGAUACAGAGACUGUGGGGCAGAGAGCCCUGCACUCAAUUCUGAAUGCUGCUAUCAUGAUCAGCGUCAUUGUUGUCAUGACUAUUCUCCUGGUGGUUCUGUAUAAAUACAGGUGCUAUAAGGUCAUUCAUGCCUGGCUUAUUAUUUCAUCUCUGUUGUUGCUGUUCUUUUUCUCAUUCAUUUACUUGGGGGAAGUGUUUAAAACCUACAAUGUUGCCAUGGACUACAUUACUGUUGCACUCCUGAUCUGGAAUUUUGGUGUGGUGGGAAUGAUUGCCAUUCACUGGAAAGGGCCUCUGCGACUCCAGCAGGCAUAUCUCAUUAUGAUCAGUGCCCUCAUGGCCCUGGUAUUUAUCAAGUACCUUCCAGAAUGGACAGCAUGGCUCAUCUUGGCUGUGAUUUCAGUAUAUGAUUUAGUGGCUGUUUUGUGUCCAAAAGGCCCACUUCGUAUGCUUGUUGAAACAGCUCAGGAGAGAAAUGAAACUCUCUUUCCAGCUCUUAUUUACUCCUCAACAAUGGUGUGGCUGGUGAAUAUGGCAGAAGGAGAUCCAGAAGCCCAAAGGAAUGUAUCCAAAAACUCCAAUUAUAAUGCACAAAGCACCGAAAGCGAGACCCAAGACCCUGUGACAGAGAGCGAUGAUGGUGGCUUCAGUGAAGAGUGGGAAGCCCAGAGGGACAGUCACCUAGGGCCUCAUCAUUCUACGACUGAGACACGAGCUGCUGUGCAGGAACUUUCCAGCAACAUCCUUGCCAGUGAGGAUCCAGAAGAAAGGGGAGUAAAACUUGGAUUAGGAGAUUUCAUUUUCUACAGUGUUCUGGUUGGUAAAGCUUCUGCAACAGCCAGUGGAGACUGGAACACAACCAUAGCCUGUUUCGUAGCCAUAUUAAUUGGUUUGUGCCUUACAUUGUUACUCCUCGCCAUUUUCAAGAAAGCAUUGCCAGCUCUUCCGAUCUCUAUCACUUUUGGGCUGGUUUUCUACUUUGCCACAGAUUAUCUUGUACAGCCCUUUAUGGACCAGUUAGCAUUCCAUCAAUUUUAUAUUUAGCAUAUUUGCAAUUAGAAUCCCAUGGAUUUUUCUCCUUUGACUAUAAUAAAAUCUGGGGAGGACAAAGAUGAUUUUCCUGUGUCCACAUCUAACAAAGGCAAGAUUCCCAGCUGGACUUUUUGCAGUUUCCUUCCAAGUCUUCCUGACCACCUGUACCAUUGGGCGCUGGAAGGAGGUAUCUACAGAAAAUGGUUUGGACAUACGUCAUUGUGAUGGACUGAGUCCCUCGGUGCAAAAACUACCAGAUUUGAGGGACAAGGCUGAGGAGAAGGGACGGACCAUGAGGUUGCUGUGCUCCCACCAGCAGUGUAACCCUUGGUCACAGGUGGAUUUUACCAACACUGCAGACUCUCAGGACUACCAUUACCAAGAAAUUAAAUGGCGUGGUUUAAACCAAACAGGACUCUUCAUCUUAAACUACAUGUUGAAGAUCAACCUAAUAAACUUGUCUUGAAUUCUGAACCUUUUCCAGAGGUACUGUAAGGAGAGCGAGCACCAGCAGCAAGAUGAAAAGGUUUUUGAAAAGGGGCUCCAACUUCCACUUUCAGACCUUUUUGCUGCAGACUUAACCAUUUUUAGAUAAGACAUUUUUUUUUCCACCUUGAGUCAAGUCAGGUGUCUAGGUUGAUUUUUUGAAAAGUCUCGUUUUCAAGCACUGAAACUCAGUACCAUCAACGGUUGCCAUUUCUUCCCACGGCCAGUCUGAACUGAUUUGAGGUUGCUUUAUCCUAAAAGUCUUAACCUCAGGUUCCAAAUUCAGUAAUUUCUGGAAAGAAUGGAACUGUAUCCAAAUGGUUUCCUAUUAGCCUUAGGUGCAUUUUGGAUUUUCCACCAAAUUCUUUAUUUUUAGACAUACUUGUAGGUUCACGUGCCCCUGGAUGCUUCCAUUCUUCCCGUCUUUCCCUGACUCCCGCAUAAGCAUUCUCUUAUACAGCAAAUGAGACAGCUCUGUUGUGGUAACAGAUGACCCAGUUACUCUAGGAUUUUACUCUUUGUGUGGUGCAAAGAAUGUGUUCUGAAUCAGUGCUGUCAGCCUCGCUGUCAUAAUUUCUUCAAUAGCAAAUACAAUGUGUGCCCUAAGACAGUGGAAUUAAAGACGAGUAAAAUGGCUGGUGAAGCACUUUCUGUCCUGGUUUUUCUUUUUUCUUUUUUCUUUUUUACUACAAUCCAUUGUCUCUGACUGUGGGUCGGAAUUUGAAUCAACAGCCAAAAGCUGGUAGUUUAUAAAGUCCGCUGUGUCAAUACAAAGUAAGAGUUUGGAGAAAGCUAUGAUUUUACUCGGUGAGCCGUGCGUGGGAGGACCUAGGGUCAGGAAGAGAACCAGCUGCCAAGAAGAGAAAGGGCCUCUAAUAGCCAAUGGGACAAAAUGAGCUAACAUUCCGUGGGCAGAUGUUAAGGAGGAGAACCAAGUUAUUCCUCAAGAACCUCACAGUGGGUGUUUUGUGCUUUCCCUUCUGCCUUACCUUUCAUUUCAGUGUACCUUUGAACUGGGCUGUUGGGCUGAGACCCAGGGCAGCUCAGCUGGGGACAUGAACAGAGCCAUCAGCCUGUGGGCACAUGACUCCUCUAAGCAAAGCUUUGCUGGGCACAACCCUUCUUCUACCACUGACCGCCCUUAGCCAUGGUGAUCAGACGGCAAGCAUUUGUGAGAAACUUAGUCUCUCCUUCUGGCUGAACAGAAGGGCCAGCUUUUCUUCUUGUGCCUGCUUUCUCUCCAGCCUAUCAUGUGAUCUGGUUUGCGGUUCUCCUUGGAGUUUAGAAUAUCUGUUUUCUGUCACAGAAUAUUAUAAACUAACUUUAGCAGUAGUGUGCUGGUCAUAACCGGAGUGUAAGUAAAAACUGGCUCACAGUAGGCGUUUGAGAACUGCAGGAAAAACAAAAAAACAAGUGCUCUGCACAGGAAGAGUGAGGCUUACUUAAAGUAGUAGGUUCGCUCAUCUCUGUCUUUGUGUAGCCCCUUCUUUCCAAGAUUCUCUUUUUCCUUAGAUAUGUAGCAAUGUGGGUAUUAUCUUCUAGAAAGACACAUGAAUCAACCACUACAACAAAGCCACCCGAACAUGUUUGCAACUUGAGGCAGGCCUGAGGGAGCCCUGAUCUAGAGUAGUUUAUUUGUGCAAAAGUCUCAGAAGUACCAUAUCUUUCAUGAAAGGUUCAUCCCAGAAGAAGGUAUGUGGUGUGAGUGUGACCAAGACCAUCCUUUGUAUCACUGUCCUGUGUAGAAAGAUGGCAAUACAACUCACUUUCUACAAGACGGAACCACAUCUCAGCAUGGAGAGAACUCUUCUUUCCUGAAAACCCCAAUUUCAGAUGCAGAACUUUUUGCCUCGGAACUUUCUUCUUAGGGUCCAUUCAGUUGUUUCUGAAAUAUCAAAAUGCUAGUCUUCCACCAUGAAAAAUAGAUUGUCACAGGGAACACAGUAGCAAGUCCGCUGCAGACGUGCCCUCACCCAGGGCAGGGGUGGCUGCAGGGCCACUGAAGAGGAGGCAGAAGAGUGGCCACUGAUGUCUGGGCCUGACUGCCUCACAGAAUACAGAGUGUUUAAAUACGGAAGGUUGCUACAAACUAGCCUGUGGGCAUACCGACCAUAUUUGGAAGAUCUGUGGGCCUUUUUUUCAAAGAGGAAGAGCUUGCUUUUCCUGUUUUUAGAUUCUCACUAGGUUAGCCUGUGGUCCAGGGAUCACAGCUUUCACUGUAAAUGAUUAAAUUUCUUGAUGAGAACAAAGCUUUCUAAGCAACUUGGAAGAAAACCGUAAGUGAAUGAUUUAUUGACUUCACUGCAGAAGCAACAGCUAGAGAGGUAGUUUUCUCACUUUUAAACUCCUGGAUCCCCAGUUUUUAAAGUCCCUUGAUUUCAAAAACUCUCCUUCCAUAACCGAUGUCUAUGCAGUCAGUCUAGCGCUUGUCCUUUACUUGGCCUCAAAAUUUAUAUAGUGGUCUUGGUCAUAAUUUGUAGAAUGUGAGACAAAAGUUAAGCUCCCACGUAAGAUCUUCCACGGUCAGCGUCUCAAGGAAGUCUCUGGUCCGGACCCGCAGGGCCUGGCCUUGCAUAUUCGCCCAUUCACGAUCUAGCCCAGAAACCACUAUGAAGAGAUUUAUUCAGCGUCUUCCAUGUUCCUGGCGUGGUGCUGGAGUCGGAAGGAUGUGAAGAUGAAUAAGACAUAUCCUCAGAAUGCAGCUAUAGUUCCCUGUUUGCUGAUAGAUGCCAUCUUUAACUUCUCUAAAAUAUCAGGUUGUCGUCACGCUCACCUCCUGAAUCAUCCGGAUGCCAUCCUCUGAACAGUCCUCUCCUCUGAUAGGAAAACCUCAGAUGUGCGUAUUAAAAACAAGCCAAGUGCUGAAAUGAACCCUUUUCUCGGACUGUUUUCUGGGGCGUUGGUCAACUGCAACAUUGAACUGAAGAAGCAGCGGGGUCCACCCUGGGCCCUGGAGCUGGUGUUGGCACUUCAGCCCGGGUGCGGAGGAGGAAAGAUUUCCCAGGAAGCAAUUUUCCUUUGUAAAAGGGCAGCUUCAAAAUCAACUGUAGAGAGUAGCGAGUGCAGGAUUGUUUACGGUGGGAUCGGAGGUGCUGGCUGCAGGUUUCAGCGGGAUCAUUUACAUGCUCGGCGUAUGGCUUUUGCUUCUACAGACACUGCUUUGUACAUGAUUCAGACAGGCUGUGACUACAUCUUUUUUAAAUACCUUUUGAAUUCUUGGUAAGAUAUAAUUUUGAUAGAUGAUUGCGGAUUUUCCUGUACUUGUCAAAUUAAUAAAGACUGCAUGAAUCCA